UACGGGGGGGGUAAGCGUUGUUCGGAAUUACUGGGCGUAAAGGGCUCGUAGGCGGCCAACUAAGUCAGACGUGAAAUCCCUCAGCUUAACUGGGGAACUGCGUCUGAUACUGGAUGGCUUGGAUUCGGGAGAGGAAUGCGGAAUUCCAGGUGUAGCGGUGAAAUGCGUAGAUAUCUGGAGGAACACCGGUGGCGAAGGCGAGGUGCUGGACCCUUUCUGACGCUGAGGCGCGAAAGCCAGGGGAGCAAACGGG
rnacentral:rRNA from 1 species